UUCNCAGUUAGCCCUGUAUGUUUUAAGGU
rnacentral:piRNA from 1 species